AUCUCCCGGCUGAACUAUGGGAUCAUCUCUCUAAUUCCCAAGAUACCGGGAGCAUCGGACAUCAGGCAGUUUCAGCUGAUCACAUCUCUUAAUGUGAUCUUCCGGAUUCUGGCCAAGGGCUACCCCAUUAGGGCGGCCCCGAUUGCAUCACAGAUUACCCACUUGAACAAGACCUCCUUAAUUAAGGGUCGAUUUAUCCUAGAUGGUAUCCCGGUUCUUCGCGAGGUUCUCCAUGAGGUGAAGCUGAGAAACCUCAAAGCGGGUUUUUUCAGGAUUGACUUCCACAAGGCGUACGACACCAUUCAUUGGUCCUUCCUUUCGAGAAGUUCUGAUUAG
rnacentral:rRNA from 1 species